CCUACGGGAGGCAGCAGUGAGGAAUAUUGGUCAAUGGGCGUAAGCCUGAACCAGCCAAGUCGCGUGAGGGAUGAAGGUUCUAUGGAUCGUAAGCCUCUUUUGUAAGGGAGUAAAGUGCGGGACGUGUCCCGUUUUGUAUGUGCCUUGUGAAUAAGGAUCGGCUAACUCCGUGCCAGCAGCCGCGGUAAUACGGAGGAGCCGAGCGUUAUCCGGAUUUAUUGGGUUUAAAGGGUGCGUAGGCGGCCUUGUAAGUCAGCGGUGAAAGUCUGUGGCUCAACCACAGAAUUGCCGUUGAAACUGGGAGGCUGGAGUAUGUGUGAGGCAGGCGGAAUGCGUGGUGUAGCGGUGAAAUGCUUAGAUAUCACGCAGAACCCCGAUUGCGAAGGCAGCCUGCCAAGCCAUGACUGACGCUGAUGCACGAAAGCGUGGGGAUCAAACAGGAUUAGAUACCCUGGUAGUC
rnacentral:rRNA from 1 species